CCCAUGAUUUGUGCACAUUGUGCCCAACUCAUCCCACAGGCCUUUGAGUUUGUUAAAAUAUGAGGCUACAUCUAAACAGCCUUGAGAUGUGUGAGAAAGUUCCCUUUUUAAUUCAAAAAUUUUGGUCUUGUUAGCAGUACCAUAUAUUUUCUCAAUUUGGGACCAUAUACUCUAUGCAGUAUCAGAAUACUACACACUAUCGGCAAUCUGAGGAGAUAGAGAAGUAGUCAACCAGGAAAUGACCAUGUUAUUACAUCUAUCCCACAGCCUCUGUUCAGCCACAUUAGU
rnacentral:lncRNA from 1 species